rnacentral:misc_RNA from 1 species
GAUGAAGAACGUAGCGAAAUGCGAUAAGUAUUGUGAAUUGCAGAAUUCAGUGAAUCAUCGAAUCUUUGAACGCACAUUGCGCCCCCCAGUAUUCUGGCGGGCAUGCCUGUUCGAGCGUCAUUUCAACCAUCAAGCCCUGCUUGUGUUGGGGUCCUGCGGCUGCCCGCAGGCCCUGAAAACCAGUGGCGGGCUCGCUAGUCACACCGAGCGCAGUAGCACAUCUCGCUCAGGGCGUGCGGCGGGCUCCAGCCGUUAAAGCACCCACCUUUCGCAAGGUUGACCUCGGAUCAGGUAGGAAUACCCGCUGAACUUAAGCAUAUCAAUAAGCGGAGGA